UAGGGAAUCUUCCACAAUGGACGCAAGUCUGAUGGAGCAACGCCGCGUGAGUGAAGAAGGCUUUCGGGUCGUAAAACUCUGUUAUUGAAGAAGAACGUGUGUGACAGUAACUGGUCAUGCAGUGACGGUAUUCAAUCAGAAAGUCACGGCUAACUACGUGCCAGCAGCCGCGGUAAUACGUAGGUGGCAAGCGUUGUCCGGAUUUAUUGGGCGUAAAGCGAGUGCAGGCGGUCUUUUAAGUCUGAUGUGAAAGCCUUCGGCUUAACCGAAGAAGGGCAUCGGAAACUGGGAGACUUGAGUGCAGAAGAGGAGAGUGGAACUCCAUGUGUAGCGGUGAAAUGCGUAGAUAUAUGGAAGAACACCAGUGGCGAAGGCGGCUCUCUGGUCUGUAACUGACGCUGAGGCUCGAAAGCGUGGGUAGCAAAACA
rnacentral:rRNA from 1 species